rnacentral:misc_RNA from 1 species
UUGAAAAUAAACCUGAUGAGUUGUUGCUGGUUCUCUAGGGAGCAUGUGCACACUUGUCAUCUUUAUAUCUCCACUUGUGCACCUUUUGUAGACCUGAAUAAUAAUCCUUCUGACUGGGCAAGUCAGGUUUAGAGGAAUUGGCUUUUCAGUCUUUCCUUGCAUUUUUCAGGCCUAUGUUGCUUCAUAUAUACUCUUAAUGUAUGUUAUAGAAUGUAAUGGGCCUCUGUGCCUAUAAUCUUUA